rnacentral:rRNA from 1 species
AGUGAACGCUGGCGGCAGGCUUAACACAUGCAAGUCGAGCGCCCCGCAAGGGGAGCGGCAAACGGGUGAGUAACGCGUGGGAAUUUUCCUUCUAGUCUGGGAUAGCCCUGGGAAACUAGGAUUAAUACCGGAUAUUAUCUACGGAUGAAAGAUUUAUCGCUAGAAGAUAAGCCCGCGUGAGAUUAGCUAGUUGGUGAGGUAAUGGCUCACCAAGGCAACGAUCUCUAGUUGGUCUGAGAGGAUGAUCAACCACACUGGAACUGAGACACGGUCCAGACUCCUACGGGAGGCAGCAGUGAGGAAUAUUGGACAAUGGGGGGAACCCUGAUCCAGCCAUGCCGCGUGAGUGAUGAAGGCCUUCGGGUUGUAAAACUCUUUAAGUAGGGAAAAUAAUGAUUGUACCUACAGAAUAAGCCACGGCAAACUUCGUGCCAGCCGCCGCGGUAAUAC